CUACGGGAGGCUGCAGUGGGGAAUAUUGCACAAUGGAGGAAACUCUGAUGCAGCAACGCCGCGUGGAGGAUGACACUUUUCGGAGCGUAAACUCCUUUUAUAUAGGAAGAAGAUGACGGUACUAUAUGAAUAAGCGCCGGCUAACUCCGUGCCAGCAGCCGCGGUAAUACGGAGGGCGCAAGCGUUACUCGGAAUCACUGGGCGUAAAGAGAGUGUAGGCGGAUUAAAAAGUCAGAAGUGAAAUCCUAUAGCUUAACUAUAGAACUGCUUCUGAAACUCUUAAUCUAGAAUAUGGGAGAGGUAGAUGGAAUUUCUGGUGUAGGGGUAAAAUCCGUAGAGAUCAGAGGGAAUACCGAUUGCGAAGGCGAUCUACUAGAACAUUAUUGACGCUGAGACGCGAAAGCGUGGGGAGCAAACAGGAUUAGAUACCCUUGUAGUC
rnacentral:rRNA from 1 species